UUUUCGUCCCUUCAAUAAUAAUAUCACAACAACCUGCAACUUCCUUUCUUUAAAAAAUAUGGCAGAAACAAUUGUCUCUGUUAUUGCUGGGGAACUCUUGAGUAAGGUGAUGUCCCUUACUUCCAAUAAAAUCUCCUUUGGAUGGGGUGUCAAGAAUGAUGUACAAGAGCUUGCUGGCACCUUAACCACCAUCAAAGUUGUUCUCUUAGAUGCUGAGGAGAAACAAACCCAAAAUGAGAAGCUGAGAGUUUGGUUGGAAAAGCUUAAGGAGGUUUGCUAUGAUGUUGAAGAUGUUUUGGAUGAAAUUGAGGUGAAAGAUUUGUGUAAGCAAGUGAUGAAUGGUCAAAGCAUUUCAAGAAAGGUACGCCACUUUUUUUCAUCUUCAAAUCCAAUAGUUUUCCAUUUUAGGUUGGGCCAUAAAAUUAAGGAGAUUAACAAAAGGUUGGCAAAAAUAGCUACUGAAAAGGAUGAUUUUAAUCUCACUGAGAAAAUUUAUAGUAAUAAUAUUUUAGCUUGGGAGAGAGAAACUCACUCUUUUGUGCGUGCUUCAGAUGUUAUUGGUAGAGAUAAAGAUAAAGAGGAGGUUAUGAAAAUUUUAUUGUGUCCAAGUGAUGGUCAUGAAAAUGUUUCUGUUAUUUCUAUUGUUGGAAUUGGAGGUUUAGGAAAGACCACGCUUGCUAAAUUGGUGUAUAAUGAUGACAAAGUAAGUGAUUAUUUUAAGUUGAAGAUGUGGAUUUGUGUGUCGGAUGAAUUUUCUCUAAAAAGGCUUUUGAUUGACAUUAUCAAUUCUACGAUUGGGCAAAAAUAUAAUCACAUGAGUAUGGACCAAUUGCAAACAAUCCUACAUGAUAUUAUAAGAGAUAAAAAAUAUUUGUUAGUCUUGGAUGAUGUUUGGAAUGAAAACUAUGAGUUGUGGUAUGAUUUAAGAAAUUUACUAAUGGAGUGUGUUAAUGGAAGUAAAAUCAUAGUAACUACACGUAGUGAUCAUGUUGCCUCGAUUAUGGGAUCUGUAUCUACAUAUAAGUUAAAAGGUCUUUCUCUUAAUCAAUGUUUGUCAGUGUUUGUUAAAUAUGCAUUUAAAGAAGGUCAAGAAAAGCAAUAUCCCAACCUUUUAGAUAUUGGAAAAGAAAUUGUAAAAAAAUGUAGAGGUGUUCCAUUGGCAAUAAGAGCCUUAGGCAGUCUUCUUUAUUCCUCAAAUUUUGAACAAGAUUGGAUAAAUGUGAGAGAUACUGAGAUAUGGAAGCUAGAUCAAAAGGAUAAUAGUAUUUUACAUGCUCUAAGAAUAAGUUAUAAUCAUUUGUCGUCUCCUUUGAAACAAUGUUUUGUCUUUUGCUCUAUAUUUCCAAAAGACUUCAUAUUUUGUAACUUUAACUUGAUUAAGUUUUGGAUGGCCAAUGGGCUUCUCAAAGCCCACAAUGAAAAUGAAGAUUUGGAAACUAUUGGCAUGCAAUAUAUAAAAGAAUUAAUGUGGAGAUCUUUCUUUCAAGAUAUUCAAGAUUUUGGAAAUGGUGUCUAUUCAUUUAAAAUACAUGAUCUAAUGCAUGAUGUUGCCACAUCAUUGUUCCAAAAUGAGGGCUUAAUAGUGAAAGGGAGUAAUCAAAUUACUACCAAAACUUCUUAUCGUCACUUAUUAUGUCAUUUGGAUGCAAGUCAAGAAGAGGCUCCAAGCUUUUUACCUAACCAAAUUAAUAAUGAAAGGGGUAAUUUAAGAAGCAUUACAUUUUUUACACGUGUUGAAGAAAAUAUCACUGUUAGCCAAUCAUUUUUAGAAUUAAUUGUCUCAAGAUUUCAAUUUUUACGGUUAUUACAUUUAUCUGGUUUAGGUAUUGAAACAGUGCCUAAAACAAUUGGUAAUCUGAAGCAUUUGAGAUAUUUGGAACUAUCAUGUAACCCAAAAAUUAAAAAACUCCCAAGUUCUAUUUACAAGCUACAAAGUGUGCAAUUUUUAUCACUAUAUGAUUGCAAGAAACUAGAAGAGUUAAAUGGAGAUGUUAAGUACUUAAUUAGUCUCCGAGGGUUAGCCUUAACCACAGUGCAAAAGCAUCUACCAAAUAAUGGAAUUGGCUGCUUGAAUUCUCUUCGAUUUUUAGUUAUUCACAAUUGUAGCAAAUUAAAAUAUUUGUGUGAAGAUAUUGGUCGCCUGAGAGUCAUUCGAAGACUACACAUUUCUAAAUGUCCAAGUCUUAUCUCAUUACCACGUGGUAUAAAAAGCCUAAGCUCAUUAGAAGAACUUCGUUUGAAUGAUUGUGUAAGCCUUAAUCUUGAUUUGAGCAUAGAAUCAGAUGAGCAACACAAUCACGAAGAACUCAAUAGCACAGGGUCUCCCCUUCGAUUGCUUGAAAUUGGUAAUUUACCCCAAUUGGUGAAAUUGCCGCAAUGGCUUCUUCGCUGUUCGACAAACACGCUGCAAACCUUGCGUAUUGGUAAUUGUUCCAACUUGAAGGCACUACCAGAGUCAAUGCAAAAACUUCAAGCUCUUCGGGUUUGGAAUUGUCCUGAAUUGUCAUCUCUACCCAAGGAUAUCAAUCAUCUCAUCGCUUUGAGAGAACUAAUAAUUAAAGACUGUCCUAAACUGACGGAAAGAUGCAAACCAGAAGGAGGUGAAGAUUGGCCCAAGAUUGCUCAUAUCCAGAAGAUUGAACUUGAUGGAGAGGUUAUCAAGUCAACCGAAAAUUAGGGAAAACUUGAAUCAGAUGUGAGGGGUUAUUCAUUUUAGUUCUUCAAUGUAUUAAGCAUUGAUGUGGCAUCUAUUGUCUUCAAGUUUUUCAGGACUCAUGGAGAUUCGGUCGAAUGGGGCAGUUAGUAAAGCAUAUAUUCCUCUAUAAUUUGAUUCAGAAUAUCAUGUUUACAAUUGUAAUUCAGCCUUUACCAGUGAAUAUAACCUCUCAUGAUGUGAUUUGUUUAAAUAAAUGUUUAUGUUUUAAUUGUUUUAUGGCAACACAUAUUUAUUCCAAUAAAGUUUUAGAUUUUUAUUUCCAUUUAUGUUUUGAUUAUCACAGUUAUUUUUUUUUUCUUUUUAAUUUUUUCUUCAUCUUUGACGUCAUCAUCUCAAGAUUUGAAACAUAAUUUUUGCAUAUUCAUCUUUCUUAGUAAGAUAUAUGAUAUUUAAAAUUAUUUGGUUAAAUUUUAGAGCUUUGCAGACCCUUGAACAUGAAAUUCUAAAAAAUAACUUGAAGUCAAGCAUUGUUUUUAUUGUAUGUGUUGAUUAAAGAAAGGAACCAGCUUAGGGAUCCAUAAUAUCUUAGUUUUAAUAUCUGGGAUCCUAAAUUUUCUUAUUGAAAGGAGAAAAGAAAAAAUAGUUGUUGAAAUUAGAUUACAGGGUGUUGAUAUUUGUGAUGCAAAACAAUGUCUUCAUGAUUGCCAGUAAUGUCUUUGGAUUUAGCUGUCUUUUGAGAAACUUGGCCUAUAAUGAGAGUGCUCCACACUGUAAGCUGCUUUUUUCAUUUUUUUUCUAUCAUUUGGUGUACUGCAAUAUUUCCUUUCUUAGCUGAUUCAUUCGAUACUGAUCAAACUUCCUUUCCCUCUGGAUAACAUAAAAGUUUACAGACAAUGUAAGUUAGUAUUGUACUUCCAUGAGUGUGUCUUUGAUUGUUUAUGUGGAUCUUCUUAAUGGUUUUUUCCCUUUCUGCAGGGAUUUGGUUUUCAAAAACUUAAUUGCCAAAUCCCAAGUGCUUUGUUCAGUAUUGAUACUCUUACUCGUAAAUUUGUUGAAGCUUACCAUAAUAUAUUUAAGAUUUGACUAUUUUAUUAGAGUUAGAUUUUUUUUAUUUUAGAUUUUUAUCUUAUCCUUAUUUUCUUGUUUAGCAUGCAUUAUUUUGUUUGUUGUCUCAAUGGCCAGGUUUCUUGGAAAAAAUGGCCUAUCAGGAACCAUUCCUCAGCAAAAGGCUGUAUAUCUUAAAAACAUGGAUUUAUCUUACAAUUUUUUUUCGAGUUAUGAUUUGAUGUACUACAUCCCUAGCAAGUAUACUUCAUACUUCGAAGUAUAAUUGAUCUUUGCGUUGGACUGAACAGGAAUCUAGUGGCCAGCAAUUUCAUGUUUGACAGCUCAAACAUCUGGUUGGUUAUAGUUCCUUUUUCAAUAUACAAGAUGUCAGAUUUUUUCUUUUAAAAAAAUGCAGCUGCUGAAAGAAAAAAAUGACUCGAAAUAUAUAGGCUCAGCAAUGGGAUAUGCUGUGCUUUAACAAACAUAACUGGUAAUGUUCUCUGUGCUUGCCAGUAUUCUCCCCCUAUUGAGUUGUCUGCAGAGAAAUUUCCUCUGCAAUAAGAAUGUUCCGCGUUGAAAGCUUCUUUCUUUCAGCUGUAUAAUUGUUUUCUAAAAUUUAGUAUAUUACCAAUUUUGUAAAAUGUGUGUUCAUUGAGCUCUAGUUAGGACAACAGGACCGAACUGAUAGCAUAGUGUACAUUUGCAAUAUGCAGAUUCAAGUUUCGCAAUCUAGUGUGGUGGUGAAGAAAUGAAAGUUGAUAGUAUAGUGUAUAAGGCUAAUAACAAUGAUAUUGGUGGAGCUUCUUCUAAUCUACUUGAUGCAGAAAAAGGGGCAAUUAGUGAUGCUGAUUUGUUUUCUGAUCGACAAUCAACAGAUUCAACACACAUGUUCAAAAUACUAGCUCACAAGUGACUGGCACUGCAGCCCCGAAGCUUUAUCAGUCUUCAAGGCAAUUCCCUGCAUCACUUUGAUAUUAUGAACUUAGUCUGGAGAAUAGACCUUACAAUGUGAGCUUGUCCUUUGUUGAGGCAACCCUAUGGUAAUCAAGGCUCACAAUCAUGGAUGAGUCUUGGAAGGCAUUUUUAUAUCUAUGUUCAGGGAACUCUCUAGUAAAUAAAAAUUUGGCAUAUCAAAAGAAGCAGGUGGAAAUAGGAAAGCAGUGACAAAGAAAUGUAAGAUAAGAAGAAAUAAUGAUGGUGCAGAGGCAAGUGUCCAAGGGAUUUUUAAAAUAAUAACAGUCGAAGUCUCAGAAGUCAAGUUUGUUCGAGAGAUAUGAUUUAUGGUAAUAGAUCUACAACUGAAGGAUACGCAUUCGUUGGAUGGGCAAUAUCUAUGAAGCAACUUUCACUAGGAUCCUACCAAAGGAAAAGUCAGCUUGUUAAUGAAAUAGCUACCAUAUCUGCAGAGCAACAUCACAAUCUUCUUAUUAUCCGGUUGCUACAUUCAAGGAACUUGACACCUCUGUGUAAAUUAGUAUCUUGAAAAACAAAGGCAUUGAUCAAGUAUCGUUUUGUAUGAAGAUGCUAAUUGAUGAUCAAUCUUAGUUUAAAAUUUCUAUUGUGCUUU